GACGAACGCUGGCGGCGUGCUUAACACAUGCAAGUCGAACGAAGAGCGAUGGAAGCUUGCUUCUAUCAAUCUUAGUGGCGAACGGGUGAGUAACGCGUAAUCAACCUGCCCUUCAGAGGGGGACAACAGUUGGAAACGACUGCUAAUACCGCAUACGAUCUAAACUCGGCAUCGAGGAUAGAUGAAAGGUGGCCUCUACAUGUAAGCUAUCACUGAAGGAGGGGAUUGCGUCUGAUUAGCUAGUUGGAGGGGUAACGGCCCACCAAGGCGAUGAUCAGUAGCCGGUCUGAGAGGAUGAACGGCCACAUUGGGACUGAGACACGGCCCAGACUCCUACGGGAGGCAGCAGUGGGGAAUCUUCCGCAACGGACGAAAGUCUGACGGAGCAACGCCGCGUGAGUGAUGACGGCCUUCGGGUUGUAAAGCUCUGUUAAUCGGGACGAAAGGCCUUCUUGCGAAUAGUGAGAAGGAUUGACGGUACCGGAAUAGAAAGCCACGGCUAACUACGUG
rnacentral:rRNA from 1 species